AGUUGGGGAUGUGCGCAAAUGUGAAAGUACAUAGAAAAGUAACGAACAUCGUUGGCACUAUUCAUACUACUUACCAAAUACCAAGUAGUUUCAAAGUUGUGAAGUCUCCAAGAGACAGUCACACAGUUUUCACGAAGAAAAGCCCGCACUGACCAGCCUCCGGGUUAUUUAGUCGUCGUGAGGCAACCAUCCCCAGCGCUCUAGAACAAAAUUCCUGUCAGAAGAAGCCAGCUCUGACCUUCAACCUUCAGCCGCCUGAUAGGAGACCCCGCCUCCAUCUUCCUUCCAAGAGUCGUGCGCCACAAACCUUCGAGACACUGGUGCCAAGACUAUAAAUAUAAUUACAAACGCUUGUAUAAUCUCUCUGAUAUCAAGUACCAAUUUGCUGCAAGAUGCUUAAGCGUGCUAGGUUUUAGUGGACUAUAUAGGUAGGUAGGUUAGAAUAGACAUAGUACGUAGUUGUAUGUGUAAAUAUGUAAAUAAAUCUGUCAACUUAUUUACCUUUGUGAGCGUGUCGUACGAGUAUCAUCGUGUGAAAUAGAUGAAAGUGUACCACUAGCGCGAAAGAGAUUUGUGUCGUCUGUGGUUAUAUAUGACACAGCAGAGAACACACAUGAAGAUCUGUGGGGUCGAGCGACGCACCGAAGAAACUUUGGGAAAAAGCAGGUCUUUUGUGGAUUCCAAGGUCGGCUGACUAGUGGAUGAGAAAAAAAACAAACAAAAAACGAGGUAAAUUAGACAACACAUCUGACAAACGAGAGCUAGAAUUUUAGCAGAAAAUUCUCCUUGGGAACUUCCGUUCUCUUCCGUGGAACACCAAAGAGGAACGGACUGACUUGGCGCCAGAGGCCAUGCACGGUGUUAGCGAGGAUCUUGUUCAGUCCGGCUACAAUUAAUAUCUUAAAGAGCGAAGGCAAAGUAUCAAAAAAAGUGAAACAUGACACGGCUAGAGCAAAUAAUUAAUUAGUGUUGUUUCAUCGGUCGAUUGUACUUCAUCAGCGACCAUUUACAAAAGUUACAUGUAUAUGAUGUAUGUAUGUUUACUCCUAACUGUGUGUUAAAUGUCUGUAUGGGUAUGUGAGCAAAGACAAAUUUCUGCCCUUGGUCUCCUGGGCAGACAAUAAAGUCUGUUUGUAUUUUGAUUUUGAUUUUGAUAUAAAACUAAGAUUUUUGUUUCCGACUGCUUGUGCUCUAUUGUAACUCUUUGCAGAAAUUAUUUUUGAAAAGAAUACCGUGGAUUUUAAGAGACCAUCCUUGUCUACCAUAGUAGGCGUGGUUGGUUGCUUAUUGUUUUCGCACUGUGACAGGUUGGUGCUGAUGGGGGAAGGCAUAACUCCCGACAGCCAGCCCUUCAAACAUAUGUCCCCUACAGAGUGUCUCAAGAGGAAAUCUGAAUCUGAACCCAGAGCCUCUCUCUGUCGUGGUGAUAAGCUAGGACUUUAAACACUGCAUUACCAGGCGCCCCCAAUUGGUCUUACCUGUAGUCAGUUUCACUUUAAAUCUUCAGUGGCAUAAAUAAUUAAAGCACGAUCAAGCAAAAUCGAAAAUGUCAACAACAAAAAACUUUUAUCAUGUGGUUUUAUUUUCAAAGUUCAAGUAAACGAACUUGAAUUUAUAGAUGUUCGAAGUCAUAGUUCAUGCAGAAGUGGCCUUAGCAGUUGGCAGGGCACUGCGGUACCCUGGGCGAGUGUCGUAUGCGGGGCUGAGAACUUAUAGAUUGUACCACAAGAAUCCCCUAUCGCGAUUGCCCCAGUUGCCACCCUCAAAAGUUACUUCUGGGUUCAUGGAAUGAAAGCAGAUAGGUCGAUUUUUUUCUUUUAGUUAAGACUUUUGUGGGUUUUGGCAAGUCUUAAUAGGUAGGUCUUAGUGUAAUAAUAUAAUCUGUUUUUCUUCCUUGUAGUCUUCACAAAAUACAACAUGAAGAUCAAUGACCAUCAUAACAUUUUAUUAAAGAUUGAAAAGCAAUUUACAGAAGCAUCUGUUUCCCAAGCAUCAUUUAUUUUGCAGUGGAUACAUUAUCUAAAUGACAGGCUAGCUUUAUUCUGAGUUUCUACCCACAUUUUGUUUAAUUUCGUGAUCAGAUAGACAAAUCCCACAUCACCAUCUACUCUACAUCUAUCAUCUCUCUUGCUUUCCAAACAAAGAUAACCCACAAGUCUGAAGUUUCGUACAAAAGAAACUUUUGUUUAACAGUUGUAAGUGAAUGAGAAACAUUUUCCCCCUCACAACCACAUUUUACUUCUACAAUUAAAUAAAAAAUGUUCAUGUGCCCUAUGCCUAGCAGCUUCAUCUAAGAGAACAUUAGAUGCUUAAAAGUGUUGAAACUAACUCAGAUAAUAACUUUUUAAAACAUUGUUUAAACACUGCCAAUUUAACAUAAGGUAUUAAAAUAUGCACAAGACAGAAACUUGAUGACCAAGGACUAAGUACAUGUACAGUCUCAACUUGCUAUCAUGCUGCCUGCUAUGUUGUCAACCAAGAUUUAAGCGGCACCUGAUGCAAAACAAAUUUCCUCCAAAGUUACCACUGAAUAUGAAUCAUAUUCCCCGUUUAUUUCACACCAAGCCUCUUACCCAUCAUUUGUGUUGGACAAAUGGUAGACAGAUAGCAAGUUGGGACUGUAGUGUGCCUGAUACAAAAAGUUAAAACUUGUGACAUCAAACAUAAGCAAGAAUAGUUUUAAAAAUAAAAACAAAUUUCACUAUGUAACACAGUAUGCAAAAAUGUACCUUGCAUACAUUUCCUGACAUGGCCAUUGACACUGCGCAUACGAAAGGCUACCAACCAAUGCAACACAAUCCUUACGUGUGCACUUAAAAAAACAUAAUUCAUACAAAGCAAGAUUCAGUUUUUUUUUAAGCUGCCAAAUAUGAAUUAAAAGAGAGCUAAUGCACAGUGUAGAUAGAUCAUGUGUUUUCUUUUGAAAGAAUUGAGUUCACAAAUCGAAGAUGAAUUGCAACUGUGCAUAGGUCCAAACAUAAU